rnacentral:ncRNA from 1 species
GUCUUAUCAAGAGAGAUGGAGGGACUGGCCCAAUGAAAUCUCGGCAACAGGAAUUGAUUCACUGUGCCAAUUCCAGUAGCACAAUUGCUAGAAGAUAAGUC